GAUGAACGCUGGCGGCGUGCCUAAUACAUGCAAGUCGAGCGAACAGACGAGGAGCUUGCUCCUCUGACGUUAGCGGCGGACGGGUGAGUAACACGUGGAUAACCUACCUAUAAGACUGGGAUAACUUCGGGAAACCGGAGCUAAUACCGGAUAAUAUAUUGAACCGCAUGGUUCAAUAGUGAAAGACGGUUUUGCUGUCACUUAUAGAUGGAUCCGCGCCGCAUUAGCUAGUUGGUAAGGUAACGGCUUACCAAGGCAACGAUGCGUAGCCGACCUGAGAGGAUGAUCGGCCACACUGGAACUGUGACACGGUCCAGACUCCUACGGGAGGCAGCAGUAGGGAAUCUUCCGCAAUGGGCGAAAGCUUGACGGAGCAACGCCGCGUGAGUGAUGAAGGUCUUCGGAUCGUAAAACUCUGUUAUUAGGGAAGAACAAAUGUGUAAGUAACUAUGCACGUCUUGACGGUACCUAAUCAGAAAGCCACGGCUAACUACGUG
rnacentral:rRNA from 1 species